GACGAACGCUGGCGGCGUGCUUAACACAUGCAAGUCGAACGAUGAAGCUGGAGCUUGCUCUGGCGGAUUAGUGGCGAACGGGUGAGUAACACGUGAGAAAUCUGCCCUUGACUCUGGGAUAACUGCGGGAAACUGUAGCUAAUACCGGAUACUUUCCCUGGUGGGCUUCCACUGGGGAAGAAAGAAUUUCGGUCAAGGAUGAUCUCGCGGCCUAUCAGCUUGUUGGUGAGGUAAUGGCUCACCAAGGCGACGACGGGUAGCCGGCCUGAGAGGGGGACCGGCCACACUGGGACUGAGACACGGCCCAGACUCCUACGGGAGGCAGCAGUGGGGAAUAUUGCACAAUGGGCGCAAGCCUGAUGCAGCAACGCCGCGUGAGGGAUGAAGGCCUUCGGGUUGUAAACCUCUUUUAGCAGGGAAGAAGCGAAAGUGACGGUACCUGCAAAAAAAGCACCGGCUAACUACGUGCCAGCCGCCGCCGUAA
rnacentral:rRNA from 1 species